GAGAGAUUCAAUAUUGAUGAAAGUCAAUGUGCACUUCUCUCUUAGUAAGACGCCGUGAUCCAUUAGAAAUUGGAUCAUACCAAUGAUUAUUUGGCUAUCAAUAGGCCGACAUGAAGUUCAUCAAUACAAAUAACUUGAUCUUAAAUGGUUGGGUAUAUUGUAUGGUGAGCAUGUUGUAACCUGCUUAAUAGCUGUCUGAUGGAUUUUAAAGGUCAUGUUAUUGAUGUCUUGUGCAUCACUCAUUUAUGAGAAUAAGACAUGUGCCCGAUCAACGGCGGUAAACUUUGGGAUACCUUUUGGACCCGUCUUGAAACACGGACCAAGGAGUCUAUCUAGUAUGCAAGUAAAUGAGCAUAUUAAACUUAUUUGCAGAAGAAACUUGACUGUUUAUGGGACUACGAGUAACAUUCACGUGUUGCUCCUCAAUCCCGGGGUAUUUUUAUCAACAUAUGCAGCAAUGUAUAUGGAAAAUAUACCAUGAGCAUACUGGAUAUGACCCGAAAGAUGGUGAACUAUGCCUGAUCAGGUUGAAGUCAGGGGAAACCCUGAUGGAGGACCGAAGCAAUUCUGACGUGCAAAUCGAUUGUCAGAAUUGGGCAUAGGGGCGAAAGACCAAUCGAACCAUCUAG
rnacentral:rRNA from 2 species